UGGAAACUGGUUCUUGUGCUAUAUGCCUU
rnacentral:piRNA from 1 species